rnacentral:miRNA from 2 species
AGCUGGUAAAAUGGAAUCAAAU